GGUGGUGGUGGACGCGUAUAACUAUAGGUACAUAUAUGUAUAUAUGUCUAUGCGAUGGUGUCUACCAAUACCUGAAGUGGACUGCCAUUUUAAUAUUAAAUAAUACGUAUACUCGUAAGCAACUCUACGUGGCAGGAGAUCACAGAGGCAUGAGGCCAGCAAUUCAAUUCGCCUCAAUAACUUUGUAAUGGAUGGAACGUGUUGGGUGAAACAGACGUGGCGGCAGGAUGCGGAUGGUGUAAAAGUGUCAUAAAUGAAGAAGCAUAAAUUCAAUUUACUGUAGCCUUGUUCGCUGUAAUCACCUGACGUUGAAGCGAAAAUUAUUGGUAUUUAAGCGGCUAUUAAGCGAUAAGCUGCGAUCUUAUUAAUUGAAAGUUCACACGACGCAUCAACCGCUGCGCCCAACUGAACUACACAGCAGAUUCGGUUUUUCGGGUAAUCUUCUAUUGGUUGCGAUCCGCGUUUACUUUAGUGGCAUCAUCAGAGAUGCCAUGCAGUGUGCUGGAAAGAUUGCAUUGUUACUGUGAAGCAGAGUAUCGAAGAAGACGCGAAUGAGUUCAGCCGCCAAAUGCGCGCUUUUCUUGGAACUGUGCCCAACCACUUUAUGGAAGAUUUUGCGGAAGGCUGCUGGUUGGUGGGGUUAUAAAAUCCAAUAAGUGUAAGAUUUGAAGCCGUACGAUAAUCAAGCGCGUCACACGUUCCGUGAAUGGAUCUAAAAAGAGAUGGCCGCCAAUCCGGAUUUCCACAAAAAAAAUUUCAU